GACGAACGCUGGCGGCGUGCUUAACACAUGCAAGUCGUACGGUAAGGCCCUUUCGGGGGUACACGAGUGGCGAACGGGUGAGUAACACGUGAGUAACCUGCCCACAACUUUGGGAUAACGCUAGGAAACUGGUGCUAAUACUGGAUAUGUGCUCCUGCUGCAUGGUGGGGGUUGGAAAGCUCCGGCGGUUGUGGAUGGACUCGCGGCCUAUCAGCUUGUUGGUGGGGUAGUGGCCUACCAAGGCGGCGACGGGUAGCCGGCCUGAGAGGGUGACCGGCCACAUUGGGACUGAGAGACGGCCCAGACUCCUACGGGAGGCAGCAGUGGGGAAUAUUGCACAAGGGGCGCAAGCCUGAUGCAGCAACGCCGCGGGCGGGAUGACGGCCUUCGGGUUGGAAACCGCUUUCAGCAGGGACGAAGCUUUUUGUGACGGUACCUGCAGAAGAAGCACCGGCUAACUACGUG
rnacentral:rRNA from 1 species